AUUGAACGCUGGCGGCAUGCCUUACACAUGCAAGUCGAACGGCAGCACGGGAGCUUGCUCCUGGUGGCGAGUGGCGAACGGGUGAGUAAUACAUCGGAACGUACCCUGAAGUGGGGGAUAACGUAGCGAAAGUUACGCUAAUACCGCAUAUUCUGUGAGCAGGAAAGAGGGGGAUCGCAAGACCUCUUGCUUUAGGAGCGGCCGAUGUCGGAUUAGCUAGUUGGUGAGGUAAAGGCUCACCAAGGCGACGAUCCGUAGCGGGUCUGAGAGGAUGAUCCGCCACACUGGGACUGAGACACGGCCCAGACUCCUACGGGAGGCAGCAGUGGGGAAUUUUGGACAAUGGGCGCAAGCCUGAU
rnacentral:rRNA from 1 species